GACGAACGCUGGCGGCGCGCCUAACACAUGCAAGUCGAACGAGCGAGAGAGAGCUUGCUUUCUCGAGCGAGUGGCGAACGGGUGAGUAACGCGUGAGGAACCUGCCUCAAAGAGGGGGACAACAGUUGGAAACGACUGCUAAUACCGCAUAAGCCCACGACCCGGCAUCGGGUAGAGGGAAAAGGAGCAAUCCGCUUUGAGAUGGCCUCGCGUCCGAUUAGCUAGUUGGUGAGGUAACGGCCCACCAAGGCGACGAUCGGUAGCCGGACUGAGAGGUUGAACGGCCACAUUGGGACUGAGACACCGCCCAGACUCCUACGGGAGGCAGCAGUGGGGAAUAUUGCACAAUGGGGGAAACCCUGAUGCAGCGACGCCGCGUGGAGGAAGAAGGUCUUCGGAUUGUAAACUCCUGUUGUUGAGGAAGAUAAUGACGGUACUCAACAAGGAAGUGACGGCUAACUACGUG
rnacentral:rRNA from 1 species